rnacentral:snRNA from 1 species
GUGCUCACUUUGGCAGCACAUAGACUAAAAUUGGAAUGAUAUAGAGAAGAUUAGCAUGGCCCCUACAUAAGGAUGACAUGCAAAUUCAUGAUGCAUUCCAUAUUUUU